rnacentral:lncRNA from 10 species
ACUGACAUGAUCUGAUGAUGUAGGUCUUGCCUUUCAUUUUAACUGCCACUCUGGCAACUGAACUUUGGCAGUAAACACAGCUUAGUUGUCUCAGAGGAUUCACAAUGGGAAAUGUUUGUAGUUGCUGCCUCAGAGCAAGAUAUCAACAGUUGUCUUUAUUUUAGUUCAUUUCCCAGCAUAUUCUGUUGAAGAUCAAAGAGUGGAUCCUGGGGUGCCAGGGGAAUCCACCGUCUGCCACCACAAGUAUCACGAUGAGCACGUGGCACAGGAAACUUCUUCUGAGGAUGUCCCAGCCGUUCACAUGGUGGACAAAGCCACAGAGACAAACAGUACAUAUUCUGGGAUCACCCCUAUGCUGAGGAAAAUUUCUAGUGUUGACAAAGCACCAUGGAGGAUGGACUGGCAGCAGCUGAGUCUGUGCUGUGGACACACCUUUCCACACAUCUAUCCACACACGCCAGCCCCGUGUCCACAGCUCCAAGAUCACCUGAGGGAUUCACUCCGUGGAGCUCAUGUGCUUAUAGUGACUCUGUUUCCCAGAUGAGCGGGGACCCAGCCACACUGGCAAAGAGU